CUACAUUCAAGGCCGAAGCUUCUUUCGAAGCGCGGGGGAACCCAUCUUUUGGGGUGAAGCCAUAACUCUAUGGCCGGGUGAUUGCUCUUUGACCCGAACCCGUCAGCUAACCUCGCAGGCCGAAAAAAGGAGAGGA
rnacentral:sRNA from 2 species